GAUGAAGAACGUAGUGAAAUGCGAUAAGUAAUGUGAAUUGCAGAAUUCAGUGAAUCAUCGGGUCUUUGAACGCACAUUGCGCCCCCUGGUAUUCCGGGGGGCAUGCCUGUCCGAGCGUCAUUGCUGCCCUCAAGCACGGCUUGUGUGUUGGGCCCCCGUCCCCGGUUUCCCCCGGGGACGGGCCCGAAAGGCAGCGGCGGCACCGCGUCCGGUCCUCGAGCGUAUGGGGCUUUGUCACCCGCUCUGUAGGCCCGGCCGGCGCCAGCCGACACCCAACUUUAUUUCUAAGGUUGACCUCGGAUCAGGUAGGGAUACCCGCUGAACUUAAGCAUAUCAAUAAGCGGAGGA
rnacentral:misc_RNA from 1 species